GCGCGUUCCCGUGGCGGUGCACCGGGUAGGUUUCAGUCAGAGUCACUAUGGCGGCCGGCGCUGGCAAGGUCGGAAAGUUUCCUGCCUCGUCGGGCGCAGCUUGAGCUUGCCCCAUCGGCCGCGAUCGGUGGAGGCUGCGGCGGAUCCAGCCCGGGGCCUCAAGGCCUCUCCCCAACCUCCGGGCCAGUCUCCCUCCCCCACCUUCUCGUCCGCCGGGAGCUGCGGCUGCCGUCCCUGAGAUGCGACCCUCGCGGGGGCGACCCUGAGGGGAGGCGGCCCAUGUGCUGAGCGGCGGCCCAGAAGCCUAGGCGUCCGGGGACCAACUUCCUGCCGCCUGGGAACUCGAGCCUCCCGGUGUCGCGCCUCGCUCGGUCCGCACCGGCCUGCGGAGCCGGGUCCCCGCCCUGGUCGCGGGGACGCUCGCCAGGUGCCCAGGAGUCCCGACUUGGCCACUGCCCGCGCCCCGCCGGCCUCCACGCCUCGCGCGGAGAACCUCAGCCACCGCCGUCUCGGAUCGUGCCAGGCCGGGGACCGCGUCCCCCUUCCCGGGGCGGCCUCCGCUCAGCAGGGGCGAUGCAGACUGUCCCGCCGGCCGUCUAGAGCCCCUCCGUCUCCGUCACCUCUCGCCCCUUCACUCCGGGCGAGGACUGGCGGUGGCUGCCCAGAGGUGCCCAGCCACACCUUCCUUCGGCCCAAAAGGACUUUCCUGGCCGCGCCGAACCGACCCUUCAUUCAUGCUGCAGUGCUGCAACGUUUCCGCCACCAAGGGGGAAAAGCGGCCGCGAUCUCAAACCAAACACAAGAAUUGGCGUGUGACUCAUCUGCUUGGAUACCUCCAGUCCCCAAACUGUGUUCCAGGAGUUUUCUUGGCCGAAGCUGCCCGAUGUUUGAGCCUUUUCUUCCCAGAGAAGAAGAUGGACUGAAAGCUGCCAGUUGGGGACUUUUUGUGAUCACGGCGUUGCAGCGUUUUAAAGGAGGUGAUGGGGCUUGCGCUGGCUUGUCUUCCCACCCAAGUGAAGAGUUGAUGUUCACUGGUUAUGCUUAGACAAUGUGCAGUUUGUGUUAAUUUAAAAUUUUGGGUGGGAUAGGGGCAUAGGCUUGUGAAGGGCAGUCCGGAUCCGGAGGAACUCCUCUUUGUCCCUGGUAGGAGAGACACCCCCAGUCUAUCCUCGAUGCCGUCAGCCUUGGCCAUCUUCACUUGCCGCCCGAACUCGCACCCGUUUCAGGAGCGUCAUGUCUACCUGGACGAGCCCAUCAAAAUCGGCCGCUCAGUGGCCCGCUGUCGACCAGCGCAGAAUAAUGCCACUUUUGAUUGCAAAGUGCUAUCAAGGAACCACGCUCUCGUCUGGUUUGAUCACAAGACGGGCAAGUUUUAUCUUCAAGACACUAAAAGUAGUAAUGGUACUUUUAUAAAUAGCCAGAGAUUGAGUCGAGGCUCUGAAGAAAGUCCACCAUGUGAAAUUCUUUCCGGUGACAUUAUCCAGUUUGGAGUAGACGUGACAGAGAAUACACGGAAAGUUACCCAUGGGUGUAUUGUUUCCACAAUAAAACUUUUUCUACCAGAUGGUAUGGAAGCCCGGCUCCGCUCAGAUGUCAUCCAUGCACCAUUACCAAGUCCUGUUGACAAAGUUGCUGCUAACACUCCAAGUAUGUACUCUCAGGAACUAUUCCAGCUUUCUCAGUAUCUACAGGAGGCCUUACAUCGGGAACAAAUGUUGGAACAGAAGUUAGCCACGCUUCAGCGGCUACUAGCCAUCACCCAAGAGGCUUCAGAUACCAGUUGGCAGGCUUUAAUAGAUGAAGAUAGACUCUUAUCACGGUUAGAAGUUAUGGGAAACCAAUUACAGGCAUGCUC
rnacentral:lncRNA from 1 species